rnacentral:tRNA from 1 species
UGCGAGCAUGGAGAAAAGGCGUCUCGCCGGGUUCAUAUCCCGGACAUCGGGUGGUUCAAUUCCACCGCUCGCAACCA